rnacentral:lncRNA from 1 species
GAAAAGCACUCGGCUUUCCAGAUAGCACACGCUGACAGGGGCAGUGCCUAGGACAGUGCACAGGGUUCCCUGGGGCAAGUGGUGCCUGUGCUCUGUGCUGAUAGUAGCUGGCACGGGACACAGGUUCUCUCGACACCUGGGCCCAGUUGUUAGCAUAGGGCAUCGACUUCUUCGUGGAAUGUUGGCUGUGUACCUGGUGUUUGGCUUGAUGAACAAAGCCAGUGUUUCCUUGGGCUAUUUUUGAUUGUGCAGUAGGAAUUCUGUGGUGGCGGACAUGCCUACUCACUGGAGCAUGGGGUCUGUCUUGGUGCACACUUUUCCUUGAGGGAGCACAUCUAUGGUGAAUCCCCAGUUUCUCCUCUAGGAUUGGUCCAGCAGAGGUCUUGAGGUCCUGUGCUUCAGUGUUCUCCUGAGGCAUGAAUGAUCUGCUCAUGCCUGACCCUCGACUUUGGGUGGCGCCAGAUAAGGCCCGGACUUUUUGCAGUAAGUUCUCCUGCCCUUUGUCUUUGGGGGUCAAAAUUGAAACAAUGAAGUUUUUUAUUUUGUCCCCAAACUUCUUUUCAUGGGUAUUUGACCCAGAGGCUUGGACAGGCCUUGUCCCUGAACGCUGCACGUCCUGCCUGAGACUUCCACAGACCUUUUUAUUAUUUGGACCAAAUAUAUGGCUAGUCCUUGGUUCCUGAGUUUGGGAAAUCUUGGUGAGAUUCCUUUCUCUUGAGAUGAGAGGGUGUCUGUCAUGAGACUUUGACUGAAUUGAAGGGGACAGAGUCUUGAAACAGAAUUUGGAGGCCCUGGAAGCUAGGAUAUCUGCAGCAAGCAGAACCUCCGGAGCACAGUCUUGAAGGAAUGUUCCAGUGGCAUAGUCCUGCAGGACAACACCUGCAGGGGCCAGGCAGUGAGGUGUGCUCAGACCUGAGUCUUCUGGAUCCUGGGAAAUGGGUCUGAAACGGGAUGGAGUCUCACUGGUCUCCUGUGAUUCACUGUUGGUUGGAGACUUUGCCAACUCCCCAGCUUCCGUGGUGAGCCCCCAGGAAGAAGACUCCUCCUCCUCUGCCUCUUCCAGACGCCAGGCACCUUACUGUCUUUGGUAUGUCUCCACCCCCUGCUUGAGCAGUUUUUCAGGGUUUCUUCCGUCUUCUCCUUUCCUCGUCCCACUAGGGAAACACUUUGUGCAUCUCUUCUUGGGAGGCUCAUGUGGUAAGUUUCCUCCUCUGUCUCUGAGAUUUCCUCAAGAACUUUGCCUAGGGGACCUUCUGGGCUCCUGUACAGAUCUCUCUUUGUUCUUUGCAAGCAGUCUAUCAGAUCCAUGCCUGGAUCCCUCCAUGUCUGGAAUAUCUCUGGACCCUCUGAGUGGACACUCUGUGGAGGCUGGCUGUUGUCAUCUGCCCGUGACGAGGGGCAUGGACUGCUAUGAUUACCUUCUUCCUGACUUGUUACUGACAGUUUGUCCUGAGACGUCAUAAGGUCCAGAGAUAGUUGGACCUUGUGGGGCUGUUGGCCCUGUUGUAUGAAUCUCGUUAGUAACUGCUGUUCUAACUGCUCCUGAAACCUGGUCUGAAUGAAUUCCCCCGGGAGUUGGACAACAGACCCAUGGCCCUUGGACACCCAACUAUUUGAAGUGAGUGGAUUCCAAGCUUCGUGGGACUUUUUCACCAUGACUGGUAAUUCACUCCUACUUUCCUGCUGCUUCUUCAAAAUGUGGAGCUCUAGGUGUUGAACAGCAGGUGGAACAAUAAAUUGACGAUUUGAGGUCAUAGCACAAGAAGCCCCAUAAUCCCUAAUUAGAGGUGAACAUCGUGGUAGCUUUGGGAGAGAGGAUG